rnacentral:rRNA from 1 species
CCUACGGGUGGCAGCAGUGAGGAAUAUUGGUCAAUGGACGAGAGUCUGAACCAGCCAAGUAGCGUGAAGGACGACUGCCCUAUGGGUUGUAAACCUCUUUUAUAUGGGAAUAAAACAGGCUAUGCAUACCAUCAUGUAUGUACCAUAUGAAUAAGGAUCGGCUAACUCCGUGCCAGCAGCCGCGGUAAUACGGAGGAUCCGAGCGUUAUCCGGAUUUAUUGGGUUUAAAGGGAGCGUAGGUGGAUUGUUAAGUCAGUUGUGAAAGUUUGCGGCUUAACCGUUAAAUUGCAGUUGAAACUGGCAGUCUUGAGUACAGUAGAGGUAGGCGGAAUAAGUGGUGUAGCGGUGAAAUGCUUAGAUAUCACGGAGAACUCCGAUUGCGAAGGCAACUCACCGGACUGCAACUGACGCUGAUGCACGAAAGUGUGGGUAUCGAACAGGAUUAGAUACCCGGGUAGUC